rnacentral:tRNA from 1 species
GGGAGCGUGGCGGAACUGGUAUACGCGCAUGGCUUAGGACCGUGUUCCCAAAAGGAGUGAGAGUUCGAGUCUCUCCGCUCCCA